GACGAACGCUGGCGGCGUGCUUAACACAUGCCAGUCGAACGGAAAGGCCCUGCUUGCAGGGUACUCGAGUGGCGAACGGGUGAGUAACACGUGGGUGAUCUGCCCUGCACUUCGGGAUAAGCCUGGGAAACUGGGUCUAAUACCGGAUAGGAGCCAUUUUUAGUGUGAUGGUUGGAAAGUUUUUUCGGUGUAGGAUGAGCUCGCGGCCUAUCAGCUUGUUGGUGGGGUAAUGGCCUACCAAGGCGGCGACGGGUAGCCGGCCUGAGAGGGUGGACGGCCACAUUGGGACUGAGAUACGGCCCAGACUCCUACGGGAGGGAGCAGUGGGGAAUAUUGCACAAUGGGCGCAAGCCUGAUGCAGCGACGCCGCGUGGGGGAUGACGGCCUUCGGGUUGUAAACUCCUUUCGCUAGGGACGAAGCUUUUUGUGACGGUACCUAGAUAAGAAGCACCGGCUAACUACGUG
rnacentral:rRNA from 1 species